UUUACUCUCAUUGUGUUUUAGGUGGAGUUGACCGUACUCAUUAGCUCCUAGGGUGUAGAUAGAGCUACCCCAAGCCUGGCCAAUCAGAGGAUUCCAUUCCCUAGUGAAAUUCACAGUGAUUGGUUUAGAAAUGGUCAUGUGACUUUAAAACAGGUCAAUGAGACUCAGCCUUGGUACUUUUGCUGAUGCUGUUGGGAAAGGGAGGCUCUCUCUUGCUGCAGGUUUUGAAGUUGGGUGGAUGUGUAAGCCUGAAGUUCCAGGAGGCCACCGUGGGAAGAAGGCAGGACUGGGAACAGAAUUAACAGGGAAGAGAACAGAGCUGAGCAAAAAGAGAGAGAGAGCGAGAGACCAAGUUCUGAGGACGUCAACACGCUCUGACUUUUUGGAUACUUGAGCCAAAUGGGUACUCAUCUUCCAUCUCACAUCCGGCCAGUUAUUCAUUUGCUGAUUUCACUCAUUCAACGAAUCCUGUUUUCAUGCCAAGUAUCGUUAUAAAUUCUGGAAAGACAGACGUGAACAAGACAGACAAGGAACCUGCCUUCUUGUGGCUUGUAUUCUAGUGGGGGAACGCUGGCAACAAGCCAUCAAAUGACUUACAAAGAAGGAGAAUGAGUUUGCUCAUGGCUCCAAGGGACUGGAAGCUCACGAAAAGGCGCAGAUGUUGUGUUAUUAGUUCUUGGCUGGAGAAAUUCUGGCCUCUGCAAUAGCCCUCCCUCCUUGUCAGGAGGCCAGAGGCUGGAGCGUUCCCUGCAACUUUCUCCUCCCAGCACCCACACACCCACGAGUCACUUCCAAGGGUGGGGAAGCCUUUGAAGUCCGUGGUGACGUCAUGGAAGGCGAAGGCGUCAAGGAGCUACAGGAGAGGUGGAGUUCCCCCAGAAAGCAGACCCAGAGACGAGGAUCUGAGUGCCAGUCAUUUUUGUUUUGUUCUGCUUUUGGAGGUGAUCCCAGGAAGCACCCUUAAGUAGAGACAUUUGCAAGAAAAGCAACCAAUUCAGACCAUGUUCAUGAGCAGGUUGUUGCUGUGGAAAAUUGAGGCUCAGUCCUUCUGGGGACAUCUCUCAGAGCGUGUCUUGGAGUUGUCCCACCUGGGGGACCGGAAGCUGGAGUAUCUUUCCUCCAACUUCAGUCUAUCAUUAUUUGAGGGCCACUCCCGGAUACGUCAGCUCCCCGGACUGCUGAUCUACCCUGUGUGCUAAGGCCAGGGGGAGCUCUCGGGUGCGGAGAUGCAAAUGCUUGUGCUAGGAAGCCAUCAGCAUACAAAAGAAGGGUGUGUGCUGAGAGCAUAUGGGUGAACUCCCCACAGGGUUGCCUACAUCCAUAAAUUCACAUUUACUUGUUUCAUCGCCGAGUGCAAUUUCUACUUACAGGAGACACAGCUCUAAAGAUGACAACCUUGGAUUUCAUAGUAAAUUAGGAACAGGGCUCAUGUAAUAUUAAUAAUCUAAGGAUGUACAUACAUGCUGUGGGUUUAUAGGUGAGCUUCUGGGCUAAAGCGUCAUAAAACAUUUCAUUGCAUUGAAAAUAAGUGGGCAAAUGUCACCGAAGAAUGAAAGGAAAUAUGAAAUCAAGGAACGUUAAAGUCAAAUGACAUUUCCAUAGCUACCCUAAAAAGGAUUCAGAUCGUUCAAGACCUAGGCCUGACACCUAGGCUUGUGUGACCCCCAACAAGUUGCUUAAUCUCUGAACGUCAGCUUUUGUCUUUUUUUGUUGUUGUUGUUGUUAACCUGUCAAAUGAUGUGAAUACCUAUCACAUAUAGCUGUCAUGAGAACUAAAUGAGGUAAUGCAUAUAGACAAUGGUUGUAGAUUGUAUUAUUUGUGUAGACUUCUUUUUAUC